rnacentral:lncRNA from 10 species
CUCUGCCAACUGGUGGAAUCAUCGCCACUUCCAGCACCACGCCAAGCCUAACAUCUUCCACAAGGAUCCCGAUGUGAACAUGCUGCACGUGUUUGUUCUGGGCGAAUGGCAGCCCAUCGAGGGUAGAGGGAAAUCUUGUUCCAGUUCAGCAGGAAGGCAAGAUUUCAGGGGCUCAAGCUUGGUCGCCAACCGACUAGCUCAUGUUGAGAAAACCUUAUUUGGAGAAUCAUCAUCCUGUACACUGGGAGGAGCCUCAACGUGGCUUGGUCCAAUCUGCUUCACCAGUGGAUAAGAAAUUGAAGGCCAGCUGUGGUGGCUCACACCUGUAAUCCCAGCGCUUUGGGAGGCUGAAGU